rnacentral:lncRNA from 1 species
CGCCUCCUCGCCACCUGGGCCCGAGACUCCCGGUGCUGGCGUGGCAGGGGUGCCCCCGCCGGGACGGGACAGCUGGGACCCGCGCAGCCGAGCCGGGGCAGCCACGUGGCGGCGGGGCGGGGACCGGGCGGGCCGGGCGCUGGGAGCUGGCUGUCCCAGGAGCAGAGCAGUCUCCCUGUCCAGAUCACCAGGAUCCCUGCUUGCUGGAGAAUGACCCAGAUGUCCCAGGUGCAGGAGCUCUUCCAUGAGGCAGCCCAGCAGUGUGCAGCACCUCCCAGGACCUCUUGCUCCUGCUCUGGUGACAUAAGAUGCCUGCCUCGCCUUUGCCUUCCACCAUGAUUGAAAGUUUCCUGAGGCCUCCCUGGAAGCAGAAGCUGCUAUGCUUCCCGUACAGCCUGUGGAACCAUAAGCCAAUUAAACCUCUUUUCUUUAUAAAUUA